CGCGUAUGUUACUCUUUCGCUGUUCUGCCAGCACAUGAGUCUCUUGUUUUAACUUCUUUUAUCACUUUGGUAAUACCUGUUCCUCUGAUAUGGCAUAGGUACAACUUGGCGAGGGCAUCUUUGUGAGCUCCGACACAUGGACACACCUGAUGCAGCAGCCAGCAGACGCUCGCAGCGUCUCGCUGUUGCACUGUGGGGAAACGAGACACUUGCACAACGCAGUGUCACAGGGAAGCAAUCCAAUAAAGAUGUUUCGAAAGGAAAGACAGCAGUCUACCCACAGUUGUCACCAGUAAAGGUGACCUGCAUGUCAUCUGCCUUUUGGCAUUACCUGCUGUCAAAGGGGUGCAGCACAGAAGAAGCACCAAAGCGGCACAAACAACUGGUACGCUACCUUGCACAGAAGUGUGCGGAUCUCCGACGUUAAAAUGGUAAAGAAGCUACUCCUGAAUGAAGAUCCUGGAGCUGAAGGAUAAUAAAGCAUAGCAGAACGGCAUACCAAAACUCGUUUUUGUGUCUGCUCUGCCGCGUACGCUGUGCAUGA